UAGCUAGAGUAGUAGAGCUACGGGUUGAAGAUUUAGGUCCCGAAAGGGAUCGAUUUUCUGUCCAACUCCGAACAUUCUAGCAUUACAGAAUCUAAGAGACGGGAAGCCGGGGUAAGCCCGGUUUCCGAGAGGGGAACAACCCAGACUAUAGUUAAGGUCCCUAAUACUGACUAAGUGUGAAAGGGUGAAAAGUGUCUAUUGUCACAGACAGCGAGGAGGUUGGCUUAGAAGCAGCCACCCUUUAAAAAGUGCGUAACAGCUUACUCGUCAAGAUGAUAGGCCUUUAAAAUGGACGGGACUAAGUCAGUUACCGAUACUAUAGAAUGCUUAAAAAGCAAUUAGUAGGUAGGCAUUCUGCAAGGACAGAAGUAUUUUUGCAAAAAAAUAUGGACCUUGUAGAAAUGAGAAUCCUGGCGGUAGUAGGAUCUUAGCACUGUAAGAAUCAGUACCACUGAAAGGGCAAGGGUUCCUUGGCAAUGCAAAUCAGCCAAGGGUUAGUCGAACCUAACCUAACCCAUAAAUUGGGUUAAGGGAAAGGGACAAAGGUUAAUAUUCCUUUACUAUUCUAGUAUGCGUGGCAACACAAGCUUUAUUCCUGACAUUUCUGAUUAGGCUAACAUUGUUUGUCUACAAUGUCAACUAGAAUAAAUCAGGGGAGUAUCGUAAUGAUGAGAACCUGAUUAAAUCCGGGAUGAGCAUUCUUAUGGGACGUUUAGCCGAUAUCUGGAAUCCGUGAAAAGGGAGUAGAGAAAAAACUUGAAUAUUCGUACCAAGAACCAGCACAGGUG
rnacentral:rRNA from 1 species